rnacentral:lncRNA from 1 species
AUGAUUCCAAAAGCUGAUUCUCCUUCCAUCUCCCACCCUGUAAGUGAUGUUGCCACUGAAUGCUUCCCAAUUCUUCAUGAUACUCCUCCACAUGCCACACCCGAAAAGUGUUGUGAUCGCCUUGGUCCUCCAACCCCCUCCCGUUGAGUCGUACUUUUCUACUAUGACCUCCCUCCAUAGAGCAUGCUCUUAUGCCCCGAAUCUCCACAACCACUUCCCCAUUAAAGCUCUGUUAAAAACCCUAAGAUCUUUCACUCCAAGUCCACCCCACUUCUUUGGGGAAGUGACUGUCUGUCAAUUCACUAGAUGAAACUUUCUAGUUUCAUCCGCCGCAUCCCACAGAAAGUUCCUUUGAAGUCGCUCCAGUUUUUCUGUGAUGCUCACCGGUGCUUGCAACAGUGAUAAGUAAUAGGUGGGCAUAUNNNNNNNNNNNNNNNNNNNNNNNNNUCCUGAAUGAGAGGUCCCAUACUACCCCCUUCAAGCUCCUUGCGAAUCUGUUGGACCAUCAGUUCUUUCUGAUUUGAAACUCUGAAGACGUGGGGGAAGGAGACCUUGAGAGUAUCCUCUCCACACCACCUAUGAUUCCAAAAGCUGAUUCUCCUUCCAUCUCCCACCCUGUAAGUGAUGUUGCCACUGAAUGCUUCCCAAUUCUUCAUGAUACUCCUCCACAUGCCACACUCGAAAGGUGUUGUGAUCGCCUUGGUCCUCCAACCCCCUCCCGUUGAGUCGUACUUUUCUACUAUGACCUCCCUCCAUAGAGCAUGCUCUUCUACCCCGAAUCUCCACAACCACUUCCCCAUUAAAGCUCUGUUAAAAACCCUAAGAUCUUUCACUCCAAGUCCACCCCACUUCUUUGGGGAAGUGACUGUAUGUCAAUUCACUAGAUGAAACUUUCUAGUUCCAUCCGCCGCAUCCCACAGAAAGUUCCUUUGAAGUCGCUCCAGUUUUUCUGUGAUGCUCACCGGUGCUUGCAACAGUGAUAAGUAAUAGAUGGGCAUACUCGAUAAAGUGCUUUUGAUAAGCACUUCCUUACCUCCUUUUGACAAAUACCGUUUCUGCCACCCUGCUAAUCUCUUUUCAACCCGU